rnacentral:lncRNA from 1 species
AGUUGUUACUGUCUUAAGCAUGCAUAGGAGUUUCACAUGGCUAGAUGCAAUGAACCUGGAGAUUUUCCCAAGAAUGAGCCUUUCAAUCAUAGAGAGACUGAAAGACUGAGACUGCAUUUAUUUCAGAAAGUGAUUGGUGCAGAGGUAUGAUGAUAUAUUUUCAGUGUGUCUAUCAAGAAGGUGGUGUUGAAAUAUCUGUGGCAAUAUUGGCAAGGAGUCAGUCUCUUGCUAUUUCACAAUGGCCUUAAUCCUAGUGAUGGCAAUUUCUUCUUGCAACAAAGAAAGACAGUGACACCAAAGGAGAAAUAUUCAAAGUGGGAUGAAAGGGGUUGACAUUAGAAAAGACUUCAUGGUGAUUGGAAAAAAAUGGAAAAAGAUUUUGAAAGCACUCCAUCACAGGGCACACUACAAUCACAAACUUCAUGCCUUACACAGUUUCCUUUCCUGUCAUACUAACUGUGCUUCUUCAACAUCUCCUGGGAACCA